GCUUAACACAUGCAAGUCGAACGGAUUAAAUAAGCUUGCUUAUUUCGUUAGUGGCGCACAGUUGAGUAAUGUAUAGCUAACCUGCCCUUUAGUGGGGGACAACACUUGGAAACGACUGCUCAUACCCCAUACUCCUUCUUAUCAUAAGGUAACUUGGGAAAGCAUUUAUUGCUAAAGGAUGGGGCUUUAUGGUAUCAGCUUGUUGGUGGGGCAACGGCCUACCAUGGCGAUGACACCUACCUGGUCUGAUAGGAUGAUCAGGCACACUGGAACUGAGACACGGUCCACACUCCUACAGAAGGCAGCAGUGGGGAAUAUUGCGCAAUGGAGGAAACUCUGAUGCAACAACACCACGCGCAGGAUGACCCAUUUCGGUGUGUAAAUUCCUUUCAUAAGGGAAGAUAAUGACGGUACCUUAUGAAUAAACACCGGCUCACUCCGUGCCAGCAGCCGCGGUAAUAC
rnacentral:rRNA from 1 species